rnacentral:rRNA from 1 species
GACGAACGCUGGCGGCGUGCUUAACACAUGCAAGUCGAGCGGAAAGGCCCUUUCGGGGGUACUCGAGCGGCGAACGGGUGAGUAACACGUGAGUAAUCUGCCCCUGGCUUUGGGAUAGCCACCGGAAACGGUGAUUAAUACCGGAUACGACCACUUCUCGCAUGGGAUGGUGGUGGAAAGUUUUUCGGCCAGGGAUGUGCUCGCGGCCUAUCAGCUUGAUGGUGAGGUAAUGGCUCACCAUGGCUUCGACGGGUAGCCGGCCGGAGAGGGUGACCGGUCACACUGGGACUGAGACACGGCCCAGACUCCUACGGGAGGCAGCAGUGGGGAAUAUUGGACAAUGGGCGGAAGCCUGAUCCAGCAACGCCGCGUGGGGGAUGACGGCCUUCGGGUUGUAAACCUCUUUCAGCAGGGACGAAGCGCAAGUGACGGUACCUGCAGAAGAAGCACCGGCCAACUACGUGCCAGCAGCCGCCGUAA